GGUUGAGAUGAUGACGAUGAUAUAUAUGUAUGUGUUAGUGUCUCUGCAAGACACCAAAUAAGAGAAAAUAAAAGAAAAAAUAUUCACAAUUUGGCAUUUAAAAGCAGCAAAAUGUCCAUAGCUUAGAUUUUCUCUUAUUUUUUUGCUUUUCUUCUUCUCUCAUCAAACUUUCUUCUGAUUUCAACAAACUUUUAUGGCCUUUUCAGAUUAGGUUUCAAUGUGGGUUUGUUGUUAGAUUACUGGGUUUUUCGAGGAGAUAUUAUAUCUGAGAAGUUAAAUAACUGCAACCGAAGAAGGUGAGGUUUUUGUUUGAAGAUGGCGGCUGAACCUUCUUCUUCCUCAGGUCAUUUCUUUGGAAUUACAGAAGAAAAUCAGAACCAGAUGAAAAUACUUCAUUCUUCAACACCGACUUCAUCGACUAGACCGCCGGUUGAUCCAUCCCCGCUGCCUCAAAAGAAAAAGAGAAACCAACCUGGAACUCCAAAUCCAGAUGCGGAGGUGGUAGCACUAUCUCCCAAGACUUUAAUGGCGACAAACAGGUUCAUCUGUGAGGUGUGCAACAAAGGGUUCCAAAGGGAACAAAAUUUACAGCUUCACAGAAGGGGACACAAUUUGCCAUGGAAGCUAAAGCAGAAGACAACGAAAGAAGUGAAGAAGAAGGUUUAUGUGUGCCCCGAGCCCACAUGCGUCCACCACGACCCCUCGAGGCCACUCGGCGACCUCACGGGCAUCAAAAAGCAUUACUCGAGAAAACACGGCGAGAAGAAAUGGAAGUGCGACAAGUGUUCGAAGCGGUACGCCGUGCAAUCCGAUUGGAAAGCUCAUUCAAAGACCUGUGGCACCAAAGAGUACAGAUGUGACUGUGGCACUCUCUUCUCAAGACGUGACAGCUUUAUCACUCACAGGGCAUUUUGUGAAGCAUUGGCUCAAGAAACUGCAAGGCAGCCUCCUUUAAACUCCAUUGGCAGCUAUUUAUAUGGAAGUAGCAAUUAUAUGAGCCUAGGGUUAUCUCAAGUUGGAACCCAAAUUUCAUCGAUUCUAGACCACAAUAAUAAUCAAAGCGCUGAGAUUUUGAAACUUGGUGGUGGUUCGAGGAGUUCGCAAUUCGAUCAUCUUCUUCAGCCGUCGAUGGGUUCUCCAUCGUUCUCGUUUAGACCUCAAGAACAGCAACAGUCGAUGGUUACUUCACCAGGUUUCGUCAUGCAAGAAUCGAAUAAGAUUUUCAACAAAGAGCAUCAACCCCAACAUGGGUUGUUGGGAAACAACAAAUCAUUCCAAGGAUUAAUGCAGUUUCCUGAAACCAAUAACAACAACACAAGUAACACUCCAUCGGCGGCCGGUUUCUUCAACCUCAGCUUCCAGUCGAACAGCGGCAGCAACAAUGGUGGUGCAGAUUAUUAUUUAGCGUAUUCGGGUUUGCUGAUGUCGGAUAAUUUCAACAACGACAAUGGCAGCAACGGUGGUGGUGGCGUAAACAAAGCAUCGAAUCUCUUCUCGAACAACUUGAUGAGUGAUCAAAUCACUUCCAACAACAUUCCUUCUUUGUUUAGUUCAUCGGUUCAAAACAAUAACAUGGUGCCUCAAAUGUCCGCCACCGCAUUGCUUCAGAAAGCUGAUCAAAUGGGCUCCAAUUCGAGCAACAAUAACAACGACGACGAAGAUUCUCUUCUAAGAAGCUUCGGAACAUCGUCUUCAGCCGGAACCAAAACCUCAAACUUGGGAAGGAUUUUCGGGGUAACUACCGCCAGCAACAAUCUACAUGAACUAAUGAACUCCAUAGCCAGUGGUAAUUCCCCCAUUUUCGGAAGCUCCGGUGUAGUCAAUACAUUUAACACUUAUGCAAACAGAACUAGCUUGGAACAUGACAAACUACCGCAGCUUCCGCCGCCUCAUCAGCAAAGUUUGAAUGUUAGCGGUGGCGGGUCAGACAGAUUGACUCGGGACUUUCUCGGAGUCGGACAAAUAGUUAGAAGCAUGAGCGGAGGAGCUACACAACAACAACAACAACAAGGGAUCGGAAACACAAAUAUUACGGCGCCGACGAGCCACCAAUCUUUCGGAGGACGUGGGAAUUUCCAGUGACGAAAGAAAUCCAAAAACAAGAAAAAUGGAGAAAAGAUAUGAAGAAAGUACAAAGGUAGACAUUGUUCGAAGGCAAACGACUCGGGAAAAACGAAGGUUGGAGGGGUGAGGUUUUCAAAACAGAAACGGUCAUCACUCGACAGAAAAAUGCAG